AAAUUGAAGAGUUUGAUCAUGGCUCAGAUUGAACGCUGGCGGCAGGCCUAACACAUGCAAGUCGAACGGUAACAGGAAGCAGCUUGCUGCUUCGCUGACGAGUGGCGGACGGGUGAGUAAUGUCUGGGAAACUGCCUGAUGGAGGGGGAUAACUACUGGAAACGGUGGCUAAUACCGCAUAACGUCGCAAGACCAAAGAGGGGGACCUUCGGGCCUCUUGCCAUCAGAUGUGCCCAGAUGGGAUUAGCUUGUUGGUGAGGUAACGGCUCACCAAGGCGACGAUCCCUAGCUGGUCUGAGAGGAUGACCAGCCACACUGGAACUGAGACACGGUCCAGACUCCUACGGGAGGCAGCAGUGGGGAAUAUUGCACAAUGGGCGCAAGCCUGAUGCAGCCAUGCCGCGUGUAUGAAGAAGGCCUUCGGGUUGUAAAGUACUUUCAGCGGGGAGGAAGGUGUUGUGGUUAAUAACCGCAGCAAUUGACGUUACCCGCAGAAGAAGCACCGGCUAACUCCGUGCCAGCAGCCGCGGUAAUACGGAGGGUGCAAGCGUUAAUCGGAAUUACUGGGCGUAAAGCGCACGCAGGCGGUCUGUCAAGUCGGAUGUGAAAUCCCCGGGCUCAACCUG
rnacentral:rRNA from 1 species